AAGUCGUAACAAGGUUUCCGUAGGUGAACCUGCGGAAGGAUCAUUACCAGUAUCCUAGCCGGCAACCGGCCGGCAGUUUACGAUCAUCCACCAUGUGCACUCAUCGAACCAUGCUUUGGCAGAUUUUCUCUGCCAGGGUCUUCUUCAACUCAUAGCCUGAUCUUCUGACUGAACUAUACACAUUUUUGUAAUAAAAAUACAACUUUCAACAACGGAUCUCUUGGCUCUC
rnacentral:misc_RNA from 1 species